rnacentral:lncRNA from 1 species
UUACUCAUAAACAACAUAAUAAACUCCUGCGCGUAGCGCGGACAACCGACUAGUACAUAUAUAAAGUUAGCUUUCCUCUCUUCUCAUGAUGCCACCUAAUCAUCCACCUAAACACCAUUUUUAAUUUAAACACUAAAAUAAUUUUAAAUAUGUAUUAUGAUCCUUUCCGAUUUCCGUAUUAGCUCUAAGUUCUUUCGGUCCUUUUCAUGAUCCCGACUUUCCGUAUUAUCUCUAAAUUCUUUCGGUCCUUUUUAUGAUCCCGACUUUCCGUAUUAGGUUUAAGCUCUUUCGGUCGUUUUUAUGAUCCCCGACUUUCUGUAUUAGCUCUAAGGUCUUUAGGUCCUUUUUAUGAUCCCCGACUUUGCGUAUUAGCUCUAAGCUCUUUCCGUCCAUUUUAUGAUCCCCGACUAUCCGAAUUAGCUCUAAGUUCUUUCGGUCCUUUUUUUGAUCCCCGACUUUCCGUAUUAGCUCUAAGCUCUUUCGGUCCUUAUUAUGAUCCCCGACUUUCCGUAUUAGCUCUAAGCUCUUUCGGUCCUUUUUAUGAUCCCCGAAUUUCCGUAUUAGCUCUGAGCUCUUUCGGUCCUUUUUAUGAUCCCCGACUUUCCGUAUUAGCUCUAAGUUCUUUCGGUCAUUUUUAUGAUCCCCGACUUUCCGUAUUAGCUCUAAGCUCUUUCGGUCCUUUUUAUGAUCCCCAACUUUCCGUAUUAGCUCUAAGUUCUAUCGGUCCUUUUUAUGAUCCCCGACUUUCCGUAUUACCUCUAAGUUCUUUCGGUCCUUUUUAUGAUCCCCGACUUUCCGUAUUAGCUCUAAGUUCUUUCGGUCCUUUUUAUGAUCCCCGACUUUCCGUAUUAGCUCUAAGUUCUUGAGGUCCUUUUUAUGAUCUCCGACUUUCCGUAUUAGCUCUAAGUUCUUUCGGUCCUUUUUAUGAUCCCCGACUUUCCGUAUUAGCUCUAAGUUCUUUCGGUCUUUUUUAUGAUCCCCGACUUUCCGUAUUAGCUCUAAGUUCUUUCGGUCCUUUUUAUGAUCCCCGACUUUCCGUAUUAGCUCUAAGUUCUUUCGGUCCUUUUUAUGAUCCCCGACUUUCCGUAUUAGCUCUAAGUUCUUUCGGUCCUUUUUAUGAUCCCCGACUUUCCGUAUUAGCUCUAAGUUCUUUCGGUCCUUUUUAUGAUCCCCGACUUUCCGUAUUAGCUCUAAGUUCUUUCGGUCCCUUUUACGAUCCCCGACUUUCCGUAUUAGCUCUAAGUUCUUUCGGUCCUUUUUAUGAUCCCCAACUUUCCGUAUUAGCUCCAAGUUCUUUCGGUCCUUUUUAUGAUCCCCGACUUUCCGUAUUAGCUCUAAGUUCUUUCGGUCCUUUUAUGAUCCCCGACUUUCCGUAUUAGCUCUAAGUUCUUUCGGUCCUUUUUAUGAUCCCCGACUUUCCGUAUUAGCUGUAAGUUCUUUCGGUCCUUUUUAUGAUCCCCGACUUUCCGUAUUAGCUCUAAGUUCUUUCGGUCCUUUUUAUGAUCCCCCGACUUUCCGUAUUAGCUCUAAGUUCUUUCGGUCUUUUUUAUGAUCCCCGACUUUCCGUAUUAGCUCUAAGUUCUUUCGGUCCUUUUUAUGAUCCCUGACUUUCCGUAUUAGCUCUAAGUUCUUUCGGUCCUUCCGUAUUAGCUCUAAGUUCUUUCGGUCUUUUCUAUGAUCCCAGACUUUCCGUAUUAGCUCUAAGUUCUUUCGGUCAUUUUUAUGAUCUCCGACUUUCCGUAUUAGCUCUAAGUUCUUUCGGUCCUUUUUAUGAUCCCCGACUUUCCAUAUUAGCUCUAAGUUCUUUCGGUCCUUUUUAUGAUCCCCGACUAUCCGAAUUAGCUCUAAGUUCUUUCGGUCCUUUUUAUGAUCCCCGACUUUCCGUAUUAGCUCUAAGUUCUUUCGGUCCUUUUUAUGAUCCCCGACUUUCCGUAUUACCUCUAAGUUCUUUCGGUCCUUUUUAUGAUCCCCGACUUUCCGUAUUAGCUCUAAGUUCUUUCGGUCCUUUUUAUGAUCCCCGACAUUCCGUAUUAGCUCUAAGCUCUUUCGGUCCUUUUAUGAUCCCCGACUU